rnacentral:rRNA from 1 species
UACGUAGGGUCCGAGCGUUGUCCGGAAUUAUUGGGCGUAAAGGGCUCGUAGGCGGUCCGUCACGUCGGGAGUGAAAACUCAGGGCUCAACCCUGAGCGUGCUUCCGAUACGGGCGGACUAGAGGUAUGCAGGGGAGAACGGAAUUCCUGGUGUAGCGGUGGAAUGCGUAGAGAUCGGGAAGAACAUCAGUGGCGAAGGCGGUCUGCUGGGCCGUUGCUGACGCUGAGGCGCGACAGCGUGGGGAGCAAACAGG